CAGUCGCGUUCUCUGGGAUUCAGCCUUGCUUUUGCUUGGUGCAUUUCCUAGUCUACGGGCCAGCAUGGAUUUCGAUCGGUGGAAAAUGGUUGGAGGAAUGUAGCUUCGAUCUCGUAUUGAAGUGUUAUAGCCUUCGGCAGAUGUGAUGAUCGAGAUUGAGGAUUGCAACGGAUACCCUUCGGGGCUACCCUGUCUGAUCUCUGAUCGUUGCUCUGGUACCGAAAGCGUGCUUACGGUUAUCAAAGUCGAUGGUCAACAGGUUAGAACGGGUUAAAUUCGUUAAGAUGUUGACGUAAUGGC
rnacentral:rRNA from 1 species